rnacentral:rRNA from 1 species
UACGUAGGUGGCGAGCGUUAUCCGGAUUUACUGGGCGUAAAGGGGGAGUAGGCGGCUCUUCAAGUCGGAUGUGAAAUCUCCUGGCUUAACUGGGAGGAGUCAUUCGAAACUGCUGAGCUAGAGUGCAGUAGAAGGAGAUGGAAUUCCCGGUGUAGUGGUGAAAUGCGCAGAUAUCGGGAGGAACACCAGUGGCGAAAGCGGUCUCCUAGGCUGUAACUGACGCUGAGGACCGAAGGCGUGGGUAG